UUAGGAAAAGCUUCAGAUCGAGGUUAUGACGAUAUCGAGAAAGAGGACACUUACAACGUAAUUCAUACUUUGGCGCCAUCUAAUCAGUGUAAAACUGAGCUAUGUAACAAUUAUGAUUGAUAUGAAGAUGACGAUGACAUUUUUGCUUCCACAAGCACCCAAGAAAUCCUACAUCAAGAUGUGAAGGUGAAUAAUAAUUUUCCCCAUACGUCUAAGUUGCCAGUAAAUAAGCAGAUAACCCAGGGUAACCAAAGAGACAAUAUUAGUGGGUACUCCAAGAGCUUGGUGCUGAGAGAAACUAAUGUUGCAUUUCUUCAAAAAGCUAGCGGAGAACGAACGAAGUUGGGAGAAGAUAAAAACGCAGUUAAGGUGAGUGUAAUUUCUAUCGAAAACGAAUCGGAAGAAGUGAAAAGUAAAGUGAAUCGAGAUGAAGGGGGCAAGAUGAAUAAUCCGGAAAGUUCGCUUGUUUCUGCUGGUUUUCAAACAGCGAAUGGCAAAAAAAUAUCC